rnacentral:rRNA from 1 species
GAUGAACGCUGGCGGCGUGCCUAAUACAUGCCAGUCGAGCGAACGGACGAGAAGCUUGCUUCUCUGAUGUUAGCGGCGGACGGGUGAGUAACACGUGGAUAACCUACCUAUAAGACCGGGAUAACUUCGGGAAACCGUAGCUAAUACCGGAUAAUAUUUUGAACCGCAUGGUUCAAAAGUGAAAGACGGUCUUGCUGUCACUUAUAGAUGGAUCCGCGCUGCAUUAGCUAGUUGGUAAGGUAACGGCUUACCAAGGCAACGAUGCAUAGCCGACCUGAGAGGGUGAUCGGCCACACUGGAACUGAGACACGGUCCAGACUCCUACGGGAGGCAGCAGUAGGGAAUCUUCCGCAAUGGGCGAAAGCCUGACGGAGCAACGCCGCGUGAGUGAUGAAGGUCUUCGGAUCGUAAAACUCUGUUAUUAGGGAAGAACAUAUGUGUAAGUAACUGUGCACAUCUUGACGGUACCUAAUCAGAAAGCCACGGCUAACUACGUG